rnacentral:rRNA from 1 species
GACGAACGCUGGCGGCGUGCUUAACACAUGCAAGUCGAACGGAAAGGCCCUGCUUUUGUGGGGUGCUCGAGUGGCGAACGGGUGAGUAACACGUGAGUAACCUGCCCUUGACUUUGGGAUAACUUCAGGAAACUGGGGCUAAUACCGGAUAGGAGCUCCUGCUGCAUGGUGGGGGUUGGAAAGUUUCGGCGGUUGGGGAUGGACUCGCGGCUUAUCAGCUUGUUGGUGGGGUAGUGGCUUACCAAGGCUUUGACGGGUAGCCGGCCUGAGAGGGUGACCGGCCACAUUGGGACUGAGAUACGGCCCAGACUGCUAAGGGAGGAAGCAGUGGGGAAUAUUGAACAAUGGGCGGAAGCCUGAUGCAGCAACGCCGCGUGCGGGAUGACGGCCUUCGGGUUGUAAACCGCUUUCGCCUGUGACGAAGCGUGAGUGACGGUAAUGGGUAAAGAAGCACCGGCUAACUACGUG